rnacentral:tRNA from 1 species
GGGCCUAUAGCUCAAUUGGCAGAGCACCGGACUCUUAAUCCGUAGGUUCCAGGUUCGAUUCCUGGUGGGCCCACCA